CAGGAAGGCACACAGCUGGGACAACAGAAGAAAGCCUGGGGCCUCUGGAGACCUGAGGCUGGAGGUCAUCAGGGGUCCUGGAAGAGUCACUGUGGAGGUCAAAGUGGGAAUCCGAGAGGCUGUGAAGGAAGAUAUCAGUGCACAGUGGGGAUGCUCAAGCUUGGGCAUUGUGCCUGAAGAAGGUUAUAGGGGAAGGCCAAGCCUAGCCUGACCCAGAGAGGUGGUUGCAGGCAGACUGCAGCUCGAGCAGGGACAGGGCGUGGGAUCUGAGGACCAGGGCUUUGGGGUGCACACAGCUGCUGCAUGCCCUGCUGAGCAGCGGGGUCUUAGGCUGGAUUCCAACUCCUCCCUGCUCUGGGGAGCAGCUGCAAACCUCAAAGUCCACAGCAAGGGUGGGGAGAUGGCCUUGGCCCAGAACCUGUGCUCAGAACUCACAGCUUGGAGCACAGGGAAGGGGACCUGUCAGCGUGAGGCCUGACUUUCUAGUAAUCUCUGUCAAAAGAGAAACGACAAUAGAGUGAGGCCGUUCUAGGCGAAGCGCACAAAGACACCCAGGGACACACGUACUAGGGAGCACCACUGGGAGACGCAAGUGCACACAUUACAGAGGUUGUGGGCGUGUAGGCACUUGGGCUGAUCCUGGUACAAGAUGCAACACACGUUCACCAGCAUACAUGUGCAUGCGGAGAUAUGACAAGUCAAUCACACUCAGACACAUGACCCUAGCUGCUAGGAGACUAUCCCUGGCCCUGACAUCCCAGGGCCUAGGUGUGGAAGACAGGAGGACUCCUCACCCUCCACAGCCGCCUCCCGCUAUAGGAGAAGCAAGAAGAAAUAAGGACAGUCGCAGGCACUGAGAGAGACUUGCUUCCAAAAGAGGCUGUGAAAUGGGUCUGAGGAGUGAGCACCCUCUGCGGUGCAGCCUGCCACAGCGCCAACUCUGUGGAAGAGGAGGAGUAGGAGUUGGAGAGCGGAAUGAGCGUCAGCUGGGACCCACUUGCCUGCCUGCCUGCCUGCCUAGCUGGACCCAGAUAAGGAUGAGGCCUGUGGGGAACCUCACAGGCAAGAGGGCCUCUCCAGAGCACAGCCAAUGUGCGAAGUUUGAGGGCCCUGAGUAUCUCUUCAGGGUUGGCUCUGAGAAAGGUGAUAACGAUGUCGAGUUCAGGAAGGCGUUCUCCAGAGGCCACAGUGUGGGGAGACCAGAGCCUUGGACAGCCUCCAUGAGCCUGUGGGUGGUGCCUAUGGAGGCCAGAAGAGGGCGCUAGAUUCCCUGGAACCGGAGUUGCAGGCAGUUGUGAGCCACCAUAUGGUGUUAAGAACUGAACCUGGGUCUUCUACAAGAACAAGUGUUUUGAAAUGCUG
rnacentral:lncRNA from 1 species